UGAAGGCAUUUCCUCAAUUGA
rnacentral:misc_RNA from 1 species